rnacentral:rRNA from 1 species
AUGAACGCUAGCUACAGGCUUAACACAUGCAAGUCGAGGGGCAGCAUGACCUAGCAAUAGGUUGAUGGCGACCGGCGCACGGGUGAGUAACACGUAUCCAACCUACCGGUUAUUCCGGGAUAGCCUUUCGAAAGAAAGAUUAAUACCGGAUAGUAUAACGAGAAGGCAUCUUUUUGUUAUUAAAGAAUUUCGAUAACCGAUGGGGAUGCGUUCCAUUAGUUUGUUGGCGGGGUAACGGCCCACCAAGACAUCGAUGGAUAGGGGUUCUGAGAGGAAGGUCCCCCACAUUGGAACUGAGACACGGUCCAAACUCCUGCGGGAGGCAGCAGUGAGGAAUAUUGGUCAAUGGACGAGAGUCUGAACCAGCCAAGUAGCGUGAAGGAUGACUGCCCUAUGGGUUGUAAACUUCUUUUAUAUGGGAAUAAAGUGAGCCACGUGUGGCUUUUUGUAUGUACCAUACGAAUAAGGAUCGGCUAACUCCGUGCCAGCAGCCGCGGUAAUACGGAGGAUCCGAGCGUUAUCCGGAUUUAUUGGGUUUAAAGGGAGCGUAGGCGGACUAUUAAGUCAGCUGUGAAAGUUUGCGGCUCAACCGUAAAAUUGCAGUUGAUACUGGUCGUCUUGAGUGCAGUAGAGGUAGGCGGAAUUCGUGGUGUAGCGGUGAAAUGCUUAGAUAUCACGAAGAACUCCGAUUGCGAAGGCAGCUUACUGGACUGUAACUGACGCUGAUGCUCGAAAGUGUGGGUAUCAAACAGGAUUAGAUACCCUGGUAGUCCACACAGUAAACGAUGAAUACUCGCUGUUUGCGAUAUACAGCAAGCGGCCAAGCGAAAGCAUUAAGUAUUCCACCUGGGGAGUACGCCGGCAACGGUGAAACUCAAAGGAAUUGACGGGGGCCCGCACAAGCGGUGGAGUAUGUGGUUUAAUUCGACGCAACGCGAAGAACCUUACCAGGUCUUGACAUCCGAUGCAUAGCGCAGAGAUGCGUGAAGUCCUUCGGGACAUCGAGACAGGUGGUGCAUGGUUGUCGUCAGCUCGUGUCGUGAGAUGUUGGGUUAAGUCCCGCAACGAGCGCAACCCCUAAUAUUAGUUGCCAGCGAGUAAUGUCGGGAACUCUAAUAUGACUGCCGGUGAUAAAUCGGAGGAAGGUGGGGAUGACGUCAAAUCAGCACGGCCCUUACGUCCGGGGCUACACACGUGUUACAAUGGGGGGUACAGAAGGCAGCUACACAGCGAUGUGAUGCUAAUCCCAAAAGCCUCUCUCAGUUCGGAUUGGAGUCUGCAACCCGACUCCAUGAAGCUGGAUUCGCUAGUAAUCGCGCAUCAGCCACGGCGCGGUGAAUACGUUCCCGGGCCUUGUACACACCGCCCGUCAAGCCAUGAAAGCCGGGGGUACCUGAAGUCCGUAACCGUAAGGAGCGGCCUAGGGUAAAACUGGUAAUUGGGGCU